CUCUCCUCUCCUUUUUUUUUUUUUUCUCAGAGAAAGAUGAAAAGGGAGAAGUUAAAGAAGGGACUAAAUAAGACAAAGAUACAUAAGAAAAUGAUGAUUUGUGGGUAAGAGAGACUGAGGCUGGAACAAUGCAGAAUCCCCUCCUGCAAGACCCCUAGCUCCUUUCACCUCCCUUGGAUCCAGGAGUCCUUUCUCCCAGGGCAGAAACAACAGGGGACCUAAAGUUUCAGAAUGAGAACCAUCCGUGAGGCUGUGCGUGGGAAAUAAAAUGCCAGCGCCCAGGCGUCUGUGGUCCUGAGGAGAGCGGGCAUCGAAGCUCACUGGGGAUCCCUUCAGCUCGCCUCAUUAAUCAGCUCCCCCGGCCAUCCGUAGGUCUUGCCUCAGGCUCACAGGUCUGGUUUUUGUAUAAUACACAUUUCCCAUCCGUUUUUAUUUCAUCUGUUUUUCUCCACGCAGCUUUUCCAUUAUUUCUGAACAUGUUAGGGUUUUUUUUUUUUUUAAUGUAAAUUACGGUUGCAGAACGCCUGUGGAUUGACGUAAUCCACAAAGAAGGCGACUGUUUUCCCUCCUUCCAAACAGAGAACGCAGCUUUCGAAACUAAUAAACCCCUUAAAGUUCAUGAGCCCAUUUCAAACUUUUUAAAUGUCUAGUGUCUAAAGAGAAAAGGAAAGAGAAGAGGCAAUAAGUGCAUCUGAGGCUGCUUGGCUGCUGGAAAGAGAAGCUCAGGGAGAAUGAGUGUACCCCUCCCCCACCGAGGUCCAAGCUCCAAGGUCCUCAGUCAGGAACCAAGAGGAAGAAAGACCCCAAUCUGAAAGCCUGCCUCGGAAGCCUAGGUGGGAAGGAGAAACUGACUGACCAUGCUGGAGGAAGGGAUAUAGCGGAAGGGGUGGGUCCUGGAGGAGGCGGGAACACAGAAAUCAAAAAGAAAUAGGAGGAAUUGGGUUCUGACCCCACCACUGGGAAAAUGAGAGGAAUAGCAGAGAGGGGGGACCCUCUGGGGACACGGCAUCGGCCUUGGCUGCCUUCUCUGGCAGCAUGAACUGAUUGUAGUGGUAACCACGGAGCUGCAAGUUCUAGACAGUUGGGAAUCCUUAAAUGGCGCCAUGAAGGACUCCAGGGGGAUCAAUAACAGACAGGAAUCAGGGCAGACCCAAUCACCAAUGGUCUGGGACUUCCGCCUGGAGCAGGGCUUCCACCGAGUAACUCCUAGGGUGGAGUCAGUGUCCUUUCUUCUUCCCAGAGGGCUCUGGCCGAUCGUCUGCUCAGACCUUGGGCUCAUUCUGCCUCCAGCUUUGAGCCAGACGCCCAGCAGAGAGGUACACGGAACGUUCGGAACGUUCGGAGUGGAAUCUGCUCAGUGAGUAAACGGACGGGGGAGGGAGCUAACCUAUGAAUGGACAAGUGACUGAGGAUCGCUUCUAAACCUCUGUCAUCCUUUGGGAAGUUAGGUGCCUUGUCUCCUCAAACACCAAGGUCAUGCGACACCCAACAAGCAGGGCCACAUGCAGUGCAGUCGCAAUCGAACAAGGGAUCCAGGUGACAUCUUCCCAGCUGGCACACCCUCAGGAAGCAGAUCUUCCUAAUGACUGUUGAGAGGUCUCUCUCUUGCUUUUUCUCUCUUAGCUAAUUGAGAUUUGAGAAUGACAGAAAACUAAAGAGAUCCUCCCCCAAAUCGCCAUGCCUCCACCUAAUGGCUCACUGAGGAGGCUUUGAAAUUUAGCAAGUUUAGUCCUUCCUUGCCAUAUCAUGCCCAAGGAUAGCACAGGGGACCUCUGGGGACAGUAGCUUCCUGUCGCUUGGAGGCUUACUUCCUUCUCAGUGGAAAGACAAGGAUCACAGACCAAGAUCAGGAGAGCAGAAAGGACUACCAUGGAUGGAUCCCUCCUUGGCCAAAGCUAAGGAGGUAUGGGAUUGGCUGCCACCCCCAUGUGUCCCCUGCCAUUUGAACUAUCUGCACCUGCUCCACUAUGGAGUUCUGCGCUGGGGCAGAGUCAAGUCAAACUCUUUGGGCUCGAAAUCACGACAGCUUAUCAACUCUCCUCAGAGGACCAGGACACGACGAACUGAAGCACAACAGGUCCACAAGGCAGAGACCCGAGAGACUCCACUGAACCCCUACGACAGCCUUCACCACCCUCUCCAAUCCACACCGAGGUGAAUGCAGCCCCGGGGGAGGCUACCGCAGCUGCGCCUCACCCCUCACCCACAGGAACACUGAGGCAACCACACUGUUGCUUUCACCGCUAAAUUUGGGGGUAGCCACAGAUAACUAACACACCUACCUGGCUCCUUUUCCACAGCAGAAGACUCUUUAGACUUUUCCUCAGUCUAUCACAACAUUGACACUCUCUCGGCUGUUCUAAAACACUACAGCAAAGUCCUACAGUUACUGCAAAGUCCAAGGUCAAGGCACCAGUAGAUUCUGUACCUGGUCUGGACCCACACUCUGCUUCAUAGAAGGAACGUUUUACCUGCGUCUUAACAUGGCAAAAGGCACCCAGCAGCUCCCUGGAGCCUCUUACAGAUGAGCAUCAAUCACUUUGUGAGGCAGCCACCUCAAUGACUCCAUAGCCUCCCUCCCAACACCAUGGCCUCAAGGGGAUUAGGAUUUCAAUGUCUGAGUGUGGAGGGGAGGGAGCAAGACAUUCAAGUCCCAGUAGUAUACACAGUUGUUCAUUAAAUAAAUGGGUGAAUGAAAACAGA